rnacentral:rRNA from 1 species
AGAGUUUGAUCCUGGCUCAGAACGAACGCUGGCGGCGUGCUUAACACAUGCAAGUCGCGUGCGCAGUUUCCGUAGCAAUACGGGGAUAGGCGCACGGCGCACGGGUGCGUAACACGUGGGUAAUCUGCCCUCCGAUGGGGAAUAACCCCGCGAAAGCGGGGCUAAUACCCCAUAACAUUCCUUGGACGAUGGUUCGAGGAUUCAAAGCAGUAAUGCGUCGGAGGAGGAACCCGCGCCCGAUUAGCUAGUUGGUGAGGUAAUGGCUCACCAAGGCAAUGAUCGGUAGCUGGUCUGAGAGGAUGAUCAGCCACACUGGAACUGAGACACGGUCCAGACUCCUACGGGAGGCAGCAGUGGGGAAUCUUGCACAAUGGGCGAAAGCCUGAUGCAGCGACGCCGCGUGGGGGAUGAAGCUUCUCGGAGUGUAAACCCCUUUCGCCUGGGACGAAUGCCCGCAAGGGAGUGACGGUACCAGGAUAAGAAGCCCCGGCUAACUACGUGCCAGCAGCCGCGGUAAGACGUAGGGGGCCAGCGUUGUUCGGAAUUACUGGGUGUAAAGGGUUCGUAGGCGGUGUGGCAAGUUGGGAGUGAAAUCUCUGGGCUCAACCCAGAGGCUGCUUCCAAAACUGCUGUGCUUGAGUGUGAGAGAGGCUCGUGGAAUUGCAGGUGUAGCGGUGAAAUGCGUAGAUAUCUGCAGGAACACCCGUGGCGAAAGCGGCGAGCUGGAUCACUACUGACGCUGAGGAACGAAAGCUAGGGGAGCAAACAGGAUUAGAUACCCUGGUAGUCCUAGCCCUAAACGAUCAGGACUUAGGGUGCCGCCCGUUCGGGCGUCGUCCCGGAGCUAACGCGUUAAGUCCUGCACCUGGGGAGUACGGUCGCA